UACGGGGGGGGCAAGCGUUGUUCGGAAUUACUGGGCGUAAAGGGUUCGUAGGUGGACAACUAAGUCAGACGUGAAAUCCCUCAGCUUAACUGGGGAACUGCGUCUGAGACUGGAUGGCUUGAGUGCAGGAGAGGAACGCGGAAUUCCAGGUGUAGCGGUGAAAUGCGUAGAUAUCUGGAGGAACACCGGUGGCGAAGGCGGCGUUCUGGACUGCAACUGACACUGAGGAACGAAAGCCAGGGGAGCAAACGGG
rnacentral:rRNA from 1 species